GAAGAACGAGAAGUAGAAAGAGGGAGACGGACAGGGAAUGAGAAGAGAGAAUUGGAGAGUUUGGGGCUUUCCUCAAAGGCUGCGAUUGGGUAUUUCUAGAUUGGAGGAGAGUAAAGCUAUAGAAUGGUGUGAGUUUCGAUUUGGGUGUUAGAAGAAGAAGAAGGAGAUGAACGAAGGAGAAUGGGAGUUUGAUUUUGCUGCUCUUGAAACUGAACUGUGGGAAGGCAAAGGGAGGAAGAUUUCAGAAGUGAAGGGUUUCCAUUCGGCCUGUUCAGUAUCUAUGGUUGUUUUCCAAUUGUUCUAUCAUGACAAUACCUAAAGGCAGGGUCUAGCCAUCUCCAGUUCCCGACAGGUGGAGGCUCACUGAAAUUCUUGUAACUGGGGUUGCUCUGGGUAGUUACUUGUCACUAAUGACUCUCAUAUUCUUCUAGGUAGCCUCUAAACUGACUUCUUUCCUGUAAGUGGCAGUGGUCUCCCUUCUGUUAUCAUAUUACGAAGAACUUAUAAACUCUUAAGUUUCCAUUGUUGCUGACAUAAUGUAGGAUGUCAUUUGAGAUUUUAGUCAUUCUAACACAUAACCAUGGUCAUUUUUUCUCUUCCUUUUAAGUUAGCAAAACUUUUAGUUCAGAUCAUCCUUUGCUGUAAUAAUAAAGGAAACAAUGAAUAGCAAUUUGUUAGUCAAUCUCUUGAUUUAUGAUAAAGACUUCUCUUCUUGCAGAAUGCAUUCUCUGUAGUAAGUUUCAAUCAACAUAACUAUAAGAUGGCAGUUCUGCCUGAUUAUACUGCAUAGGAAGAGAGAGUUGUCUUCUUGUGAUAUCCGUAAUUUUUUUUAAUGAGUGCUUGUUACCUAGACUAGUAACUUGGUAUUGUCCCACUGUUGUGCUUAUUGUUUUCUUUUUCUUCUUUAUUGUAUUAUCUUUGUUCUAUUGUGCUUGCUAUUGUGUGGACUGAAACAAGGCUUCUUCUUUUUUUUCUUUUUCUUUAAAGUUUGCUCUUAUAAUUGCUUGACGUGGCUAGAGUUUAGAAAGACACCAAACUAGUUUACCUUUUGGCUAUUCAAACAUUGUUCUUAUCUGAACUUGUAAAGGGAGGGUGCUGGAGCUUUUAGGAGUGGGUAGAGAACUUGCUUUGGACAGGAAAUUAGGUCGGAGAAGAGAAUAAACGAUAAGAAUUGAGUUUGGUUUGGGUAUUGACGAAACUAUGGGGAGAUCAAUAUUUUUGGUUUCUCAACGGAUUUUGAAGGACCUAUUUUGUGGUUAGAGGACCUAUUUUGUACCAGGUGAAAGUCUUACCAAAAGAAGCUACCAACUAGAUUGCAAGCAUGCUGAUAUCACUGGAGGAAAAAUUUAGAAAGUAAAGUUCCAGAUAUUGCAAAAUCUGGAUUUACAUCGGCAUGGUUGCCGCCAUCAACUCAUUCCUUUGCCCCGGAAGGUUACCUCCUUCAGAACAUAUAUUCCCUCAAUUCUAAAUAUGGAUCUGAGCGCCAAUUAAGAGGUUUACUAAAAAAAAUUGGGUUACCUCCCUCAGAACAUAUAUUCCAUCGAAUUGGGUUUAUUUAUUUACAGCUUACUCUGUUUUGUGUUUCCGAAUA